GACGAACGCUGGCGGCGUGCUUAACACAUGCAAGUCGAACGGAAAGGCCCUGCUUUUGUGGGUUGCUCGAGUGGCGAACGGGUGAGUAACACGUGAGUAACCUGCCCUUGACUUUGGGAUAACUUCAGGAAACUGGGGCUAAUACCGGAUAGGAGCUCCUGCUGCAUGGUGGGGGUUGGAAAGUGUCGGCGGUGGGGGAUGGACUCGCGGCUUAUCAGCUUGUUGGUGGGGUAGUGGCUUACCAAGGCUUUGACGGGUAGCCGGCCUGAGAGGGUGACCGGCCACAUUGGGACUGAGAUACGGCCCAGACUCCAACGGGAGGCAGCAGUGGGGAAUAUUGCACAAUGGGCGGAAGCCUGAUGCAGCAACGCCGCGUGCGGGAUGACGGCCUUCGGGUUGUAAACCGCUUUCGCCUGUGACGAAGCGUGAGUGACGGUAAUGGGUAAAGAAGCACCGGCUAACUACGUG
rnacentral:rRNA from 1 species